rnacentral:rRNA from 1 species
GACGGGUGAGUAACGCGUGGGUAACCUGCCCUGUACACACGGAUAACAUACCGAAAGGUAUGCUAAUACGAGAUAAUAUACUUUUAUCGCAUGGUAGAAGUAUCAAAGCUUUUGCGGUACAGGAUGGACCCGCGUCUGAUUAGCUAGUUGGUAAGGUGACGGCUUACCAAGGCGACGAUCAGUAGCCGACCUGAGAGGGUGAUCGGCCACAUUGGAACUGAGACACGGUCCAAACUCCUACGGGAGGCAGCAGUGGGGAAUAUUGCACAAUGGGCGAAAGCCUGAUGCAGCAACGCCGCGUGAGCGAUGAAGGCCUUCGGGUCGUAAAGCUCUGUCCUCAAGGAAGAUAAUGACGGUACUUGAGGAGGAAGCCCCGGCUAACUACGUGCCAGCAGCCGCGGUAAUACGUAGGGGGCUAGCGUUAUCCGGAAUUACUGGGCGUAAAGGGUGCGUAGGUGGUUUCUUAAGUCAGAGGUGAAAGGCUACGGCUCAACCGUAGUAAGCCUUUGAAGCUGGGAAACUUGAGUGCAGGAGAGGAGAGUGGAAUUCCUAGUGUAGCGGUGAAAUGCGUAGAUAU